rnacentral:tRNA from 1 species
GCCCCGAUAGCUUAAUGGAUAAAGCACCGGACUUCUAAGCCGUGAGAUGUUGGUUCGACUCCAACUCGGGGCACCA